rnacentral:rRNA from 1 species
UACGGAGGGGGCAAGCGUUAUUCGGAAUUACUGGGCGUAAAGGGCGCGUAGGCGGUCGUGACAAGUCACUUGUGAAAUCUCCGGGCUUAACUCGGAACGGUCAAGUGAUACUGUCGGACUAGAGUACAGAAGGGGCAACUGGAAUUCUCGGUGUAGCGGUGAAAUGCGUAGAUAUCGAGAGGAACACCUGCGGCGAAGGCGGGUUGCUGGGCUGAUACUGACGCUGAGGCGCGAAAGCCAGGGGAGCGAACGGG